CUACGUAGGUGACAAGCGUUAUCCGGAUUUACUGGGCGUAAAGGGCGUGUAGGCGGUCUUGCAAGUCAGAAGUGAAAUUCCUGAGCUCAACUCGGGCGCUGCUUCUGAAACUGCAGGACUUGAGUGCUGGAGGGGAUAGCGGAAUUCCUAGUGGAGCGGUAAAAUGCGCAGAUAUUAGGAAGAACACCGGUGGCGAAGGCGGCUAGCUGGACAGUAACUGACGCUGAGGCACGAAAGCGUGGGGAGCAAACAGGAUUAGAUACCCUGGUAAUCCACGCUAUAAUCGAUGAGUGCUAGGUGUCGGGGGUCAAACCUCGGUGCCGCAGUUAACACAUUAAGCACUCCGCCUGGGGAGUACGGCCGCAAGGCUGAAACUCAAAGGAAUUGACGGGG
rnacentral:rRNA from 1 species